rnacentral:rRNA from 1 species
GAUGAACGCUGGCGGCGUGCUUAACACAUGCCAGUCGAACGGGAAUUAUUUUAUUGAAACUUCGGUCGAUUUAAUUUAAUUCUAGUGGCGGACGGGUGAGUAACGCGUGGGUAACCUGCCUUAUACAGGGGGAUAACAGUCAGAAAUGGCUGCUAAUACCGCAUAAGCGCACAGAGCUGCAUGGCUCAGUGUGAAAAACUCCGGUGGUAUAAGAUGGACCCGCGUUGGAUUAGCUGGUUGGUGGGGUAACGGCCCACCAAGGCGACGAUCCAUAGCCGGCCUGAGAGGGUGAACGGCCACAUUGGGACUGAGACACGGCCCAGACUCCUACGGGAGGCAGCAGUGGGGAAUAUUGCACAAUGGGGGAAACCCUGAUGCAGCGACGCCGCGUGAAGGAAGAAGUAUCUCGGUAUGUAAACUUCUAUCAGCAGGGAAGAUAGUGACGGUACCUGACUAAGAAGCCCCGGCUAACUACGUG